rnacentral:rRNA from 1 species
UUAACAAUAAUUUUUUUAUAUAAAAAUACCCGAAAUAAAAAGAUCAAAAAAGUUAUAUUGUAUAGGACCAAAAAUUAGACAUGUAGCAUAAUGUAAUUUUAAUAACUUUUUAGAGGAGAAAUUCCAACAGUUUUUAUGAUAGCUGGAUUAAAGGGAAAAGUAUUAAGUACUUAAAACAGCUAUAAAGUGAUAAGAUUUUAUAAACUAAAUAAGGUUUAUUUUAGUAGCUUCAGGGCUAAUCCCCUAAAAAUUUUUUGCGUAACAGCAUUUUUUGAAUGUACCUUUUUAUUAACUAACUUUAAACUUUGAAUAAUUAUUAGGGCUUAGUUUAUAAUGUUUAAAUUAGUAUCAAGAUUUAUAAUUUUUAUUAAGGAACUCGGCAAACUUUAUAUUCGACUGUUUAACAAAAACAUAGUCCGUUGUUAUUUAUAAUGGAUGCUGACUGCCCGGUGAUUUUAUUUAACGGCCGCAGUACCUUGACUGUGCGAAGGUAGCAUAAUAAUUUGGCCUUUAAAUGGGGUCUAGGAUGAAAGGAUUUACGAAUAGCAGCUGUCUCAAACUUAAUUAAUGAAAAUUUACUUAAAAGGUGCAAAUACCUUUAUCCUUAUAUAAUAGACGAGAAGACCCUUAGAAUUUAGCUUUAAAAUAAAAUACAUAUUUAUUUCGAUUUUGUUGGGGCAACAAAGCAGCACUUAUUUAAUCUGCCCAUAGCUAUAUAGGAUAAGCCGACUAUUAGUAGGGGUAUAUAAAUUACCUUAGGGAUAACAGCAUAAUUUAGUAAAGAUUGUGACCUCGAUGUUGGAUUAGGGCCGUAAUAAUUUAACCAAUUGCUAUGUUAGUUCUGUUCGAACUUUGUAACCUACAUGAUCUGAGUUCA